UACGGGGGGGGCAAGCGUUGUUCGGAAUUACUGGGCGUAAAGGGCGCGUAGGCGGCCUGCUAAGUCGGAUGUGAAAUCCCUCGGCUCAACCGAGGAACUGCAUCCGAUACUGGGGGGCUUGAAUCCGGGAGAGGGAUGUGGAAUUCCAGGUGUAGCGGUGAAAUGCGUAGAUAUCUGGAGGAACACCGGUGGCGAAGGCGGCAUCCUGGACCGGUAUUGACGCUGAGGCGCGAAAGCCAGGGGAGCGAACGGG
rnacentral:rRNA from 1 species